rnacentral:rRNA from 1 species
UACGAGGGGAGCAAGCGUUAUUCGGAAUCACUGGGCGUAAAGGGCGUGUAGGCGGUUAGUUAAGUCAGUUGUUAAAUUUCCCGGCCUAACCGGGAAUCAGCGAUUGAUACUGGCUGACUAGAGGAUAGAAGAGAGAAGUGGAAUUAUCGGAGUAGCGGUAAAAUGCGUAGAUCUCGAUAGGAACACCAAUUGCGAAGGCAGCUUCUUGGUCUAUUACUGACGCUGAGACGCGAAAGCGUGGGGAGCAAACAGG